CUUUCUCUUUCACGAACUAUUUCAUUCUUCUUCUUCUACUUCUUUUUCCUUCUUCUUCCACGAAAACUAACAGAGUGAAAUUGAAGUUGGGAAGGAAACCCUAACCCUCAAUAUAUCAAAUCUCUAAACUCUUUUUCCACUUCAAGAUGGCAAACCCCUAACCCUAACGAUUGUUUUUUUAUAAACAUGUAAUAUUGGUGGAUUGCAUGCGACGGGGAGUAGAAGUUCGAUGAAUAAAUCACCUGAUUUUGAUGAUUUUAUGGCUGAGUUUGGUGGUGGUAGCAUGGUUUUCAAUAAUGGGUUAAUGCUUAUUAUGAAUUUGGACCAUUGAAGUCCAGUAAGUUAGUUUUAUAACUGUUUCAUGUAUUCCAUGUGAGGUUGUCGACAACGUUAUGGAUAUGGCUUGAUGGAUACAAGUCGGUUUGGCACAUGGUUGUGGCACUGGAAAACAGGAUGAUGAAGAUUGAAGACUUUAGAAAUUUCCGGAGUCAAUCAUAUCUGUUCGUGGACUGCUAAGAGCCUACCAUCUGCAGCUUCACUUGCUACCAUAGCUUGGAAUUUUACACUUCUUGUCAUGGGUUUUCUGCAGCUUUGCGUGGAAAGAGAAUGAGCUUCAAAUUAGAAACGCACGUCUGGUUUUACUAUCUAGAAUAAGCUUCUUCAAGGCAAAAGGUCUUUCAAGUUCAUAUGGUUAUGGCCUUCAAAAAUACCGGAAAUCUGUUGAGGCUGUUAUGAGAAAAAAUAAUAACGGAAACGGAACUCUGACCAAAUUCUCUUAACUUAAUUUUCAUUUUCCUAUGCAGCUGUAAAUGGUAGAGGGUUCAUCGCACGCGACAUUUCAUUUCGAAACACUGCAGGUCCAAAGAAGCACCAAUCAGUGGCAUUAAGAUCAGACUCUGACGUCUCUGUGUUUUACAGAUGUGGGAUAUUUGGGCCCAAUUGACUUUGCAGUUGGCAGCAUAUAUAUUGAAUCAUUCAUUCUUUGAUGCUUGGUUGUUGAAAUGAAAACAUUUUGGUUAAGGUUCUUUGCUAUGGUCUUGCAGUGGAGAAGAAGAAACAACAAAUCUGGUGCUUGGCAAGUUUAACUCGGGUCACUCUUUUACGUCUCUCAAUAAGUAUGAUAUGAUUCAUUUAUUUAAUUUUAUAUUUUUACUUUCCAUCCGGAUCAUUUUCCGUUAUGAUAUUU